rnacentral:rRNA from 1 species
GGGGGGGGGGGGGGGGGGGGGGGGGGGGGGGGGGGGGGGGGGGGGGGGCGUGCGGGUGGGGGGUGCUCGGGUGGCGGACGGUGGCGUCAGCCGUGAGUGCCCUGGCCUUUGCUUUGGGAUAACUUCAGGACGCUGGGGCUAAUGCCCGAUAGGAGCUCCUUCUGCAUGGUGGGGGUUGGAACGUUUCGGCGUGUGGGGCUGGACUCGCGGCUUUUCAGUUUGUUGGUGGGGUAUUGGCUUACCAAGGCUUUGCCGGGUAGCCGGCCUGCGAUGGUGACCGGCCAAAUUGGGACUGAGGUACGGCCCAGAAUCCUACGGGAGGCAGGAGUGGGGAAUAUUGGAACAUGGGCGGAAGCCUGAGGCAGCAACGCCGCGUGCGGGAUGACGGCCUUCGGGUUGUAAACCGCUGUCGCCUGUGACGAAGCGUGAGUGACGGUAAUGGGUAAAGAAGCACCGGCUAACUACGUG